rnacentral:rRNA from 1 species
GACGAACGCUGGCGGCGUGCCUAAUACAUGCAAGUAGAACGCACAGUUUAUACCGUAGCUUGCUACACCAUAGACUGUGAGUUGCGAACGGGUGAGUAACGCGUAGGUAACCUGCCUGGUAGCGGGGGAUAACUAUUGGAAACGAUAGCUAAUACCGCAUAAUAUUAAUUAUUGCAUGAUAAUUAAUUGAAAGGUGCAAUUGCACCACUACCAGAUGGACCUGCGUUGUAUUAGCUAGUAGGUGAGGUAACGGCUCACCUAGGCGACGAUACAUAGCCGACCUGAGAGGGUGCUCGGCCACACUGGGACUGAGACACGGCCCAGACUCCUACGGGAGGCAGCAGUAGGGAAUCUUCGGCAAUGGACGAAAGUCUGACCGAGCAACGCCGCGUGAGUGAAGAAGGUUUUCGGAUCGUAAAGCUCUGUUGUAAGAGAAGAACGGGUGUGAGAGUGGAAAGUUCACACUGUGACGGUAUCUUACCAGAAAGGGACGGCUAAUUACGUG